rnacentral:misc_RNA from 1 species
GAUGAAGAACGUAGCGAAAUGCGAUAAGUAAUGUGAAUUGCAGAAUUCAGUGAAUCAUCGAAUCUUUGAACGCACCUUGCGCCCUUUGGCUAUUCCGAAGGGCAUGCCUGUUUGAGUAUCAUGAACACCUCAACUCUCAUGGUUUGCCAUGAUGAGCUUGGACUCUGGGGGUCUUGCUGGCCUAUGGUCAGCUCCUCUCAAAUAAAUCAGCUUGCCAGUGUUUGGUGGCAUCACAGGUGUGAUAACUAUCUACGCUUGUGGUUUUCCAUCAGGUAACCUUCAGUGAUGGAGGUUCGCUGGAGCUCAUAAAUGUCCCUCCUCAGCGAGGACAGCUUUUUGAACGUUUGAUCUCAAAUCAGGUAGGACUACCCGCUGAACUUAAGCAUAUCAAUAAGCGGAG